UACAGAGGUCUCAAGCGUUGUUCGGAUUCAUUGGGCGUAAAGGGUGCGUAGGCGGCGCGGUAAGUCGGGUGUGAAAUCUCGGGGCUUAACUCCGAAACUGCAUUCGAUACUGCCGCGCUUGAGGACUGGAGAGGAGACUGGAAUUUACGGUGUAGCGGUGAAAUGCGUAGAUAUCGUAAGGAAGACCAGUGGCGAAGGCGGGUCUCUGGACAGUUCCUGACACUGAGGCACGAAGGCCAGGGGAGCAAACGGG
rnacentral:rRNA from 1 species